GGAGUUAGCCGGUGCUUCUUCUGUGAGUGAUGUCCUUCCUGCCGGCUAUUAACCCGCAGGCCUUCUUCCUCACUGAAAGUGCUUUACAACCCGAAGGCCUUCUUCACACACGCGGCAUGGCUGGAUCAGGGUUGCCCCCAUUGUCCAAUAUUCCCCACUGCUGCCUCCCGUAGGAGUCUGGGCCGUGUCUCAGUCCCAGUGUGGCUGAUCAUCCUCUCAGACCAGCUACGGAUCGUCGCCUUGGUGAGCCGUUACCUCACCAACCAGCUAAUCCGACAUAGGCUCAUCCGAUAGCGCGAGGCCCGAAGGUCCCCCGCUUUCCCCCGUAGGGCGUAUGCGGUAUUAGCCUGGGUUUCCCCAGGUUAUCCCCCACUACCGGGCAGAUUCCUAUGCAUUACUCACCCGUCCGCCGCUCGCCACCAGGGAGCAAGCUCCCCGUGCUGCCGCUCGACUUGCNUGUGUAGCNGCCGCAGCGUCAUCUGAGCAGAACUACAACUACUGA
rnacentral:rRNA from 1 species